rnacentral:rRNA from 1 species
UGGGGAAUAUUGGACAAUGGGCGAAAGCCUGAUCCAGCCAUGCCGCGUGUGUGAAGAAGGUCUUCGGAUUGUAAAGCACUUUAAGUUGGGAGGAAGGGCAGUAAGCGAAUACCUUGCUGUUUUGACGUCACCGACAGAAUAAGCACCGGCUAACUCUGUGCCAGCAGCCGCGGUAAUACAGAGGGUGCAAGCGUUCAUCGGAAUUACUGGGCGUAAAGCGCGCGUAGGUGGUUCGUUAAGUUGAAUGUGAAAGCCCCGGGCUCAACCUGGGAACUGCAUCCGAAACUGGCGAGCUGGAGUAAGGCAGAGGGUGGUGGAAUUUCCUGUGUAGCGGUGAAAUGCGUAGAUAUAGGAAGGAACACCAGUGGCGAAGGCGACCACCUGGGCUCAUACUGACACUGAGGUGCGAAAGCGUGGGGAGCAAACAGG